rnacentral:rRNA from 1 species
UACGUAGGGGCUAGCGUUAUCCGGAAUUACUGGGCGUAAAGGGUGCGUAGGUGGUUUCUUAAGUCAGAGGUAAAAGGCUACGGCUCAACCGUAGUAAGCCUUUGAAACUGGGAAACUUGAGUGCAGGAGAGGAGAGUGGAAUUCCUAGUGUAGCGGUGAAAUGCGUAGAUAUUAGGAGGAACACCAGUAGCGAAGGCGGCUCUCUGGACUGUAACUGACGCUGAGGCACGAAAGUGUGGGGAGCAAACAGGAUUAGAUACCCUGGUAGUCCCUGAGCGGG